rnacentral:misc_RNA from 1 species
AUUUUCCUCUCAUUUUCUCUCCCCCUCCCAAACCAUAGCAUAAAUAGAACAACUAGAAACGUUACACUUUCUAUAGACCACUUGAAAAGCAUGAAUAUACCCAAUCGAUUCACUAAGAAUACACCAACAAGUUCAAUUCAAAACUAAACGUUUAUAGAAAAACAGGCAUCAAUAAUAAUAUAGGAGUCAUUCUGCUAAUUUCAGAAAGCAUACUAAGCGAUCUAUGAUGAAUUACAACAAAGAGAUCUUUCUUUAAUUUUUAAUAAAAAUUAACAUGCC